AUUCUCAACUCCAAAGGGUUUCACGACCUCUUGGAGAUUGGACUUGGAGCGUGCCGGCGUCCACGUCGGCUCCUCUCAAAUGCAUCAGCGGAAUUCAAUCUUUGGGCUUCCGGAGUCGGUGUGAUAAUCAUGUUGCGCUGUCGUCGGAAUCCUCAGAGUCCGCUCAUUAAUGGUCUUUGGACAAAUCAUCAUCAAAUUUUGACCUCAAAUCAGGUAGGACUACCCGCUGAACUUAAGCAUAUCAAUAAGCGGAGGAAAAGAAACUAACAAGGAUUCCCCUAGUAACUGCGAGUGAAGCGGGAAAAGCUCAAAUUUAAAAUCUGGUGGUCUUGUGGCCAUCCGAGUUGUAAUCUGGAGAAGCGUUUAUCCGCGUUGGACCGUGUACAAGUCUCCUGGAAGGGAGCGUCGUAGAGGGAGAGAAUCCCGUCUUUGACACGGACUACCAAUGCUUUUGUGAUGCGCUCUCGAAGAGUCGAGUUGUUUGGGAAUGCAGCUCAAAAUGGGUGGUAAAUUCCAUCUAAAGCUAAAUAUUGGCGAGAGACCGAUAGCGAACAAGUACCGUGAGGGAAAGAUGAAAAGCACUUUGGAAAGAGAGUUAAACAGUACGUGAAAUUGUUGAAAGGGAAACGUUUGAAGUCAGUCGCGUUGGCCGAGACUCAGCCCAGCUCCCGCUCGGUGCACUUCUCGGUCGACGGGUCAGCAUCAAUUUUGACCGCCGGAUAAAGGUUGGGGGAAUGUGGCAUCUUUCGGGAUGUGUUAUAGCCCUCGAUUCGCAUACGGCGAUUGGGAUUGAGGAACUCAGCGCGCCUUUAUGGUCGGGGUAAUCACCCACGUAACGCGCUCAGGAUGCUGGCAUAAUGGCUUUAAGCGACCCGUCUUGAAACACGGACC
rnacentral:rRNA from 1 species